UACGUAGGUGGCAAGCGUUGUUCGGAAUUAUUGGGCGUAAAGGGCGCGUAGGCGGCUUGUUAAGUCGGCUGUGAAAGCCCGGGGCUCAACCCCGGAGGGUCAGCCGAUACUGGCAGGCUAGAGUACGGAAGAGGUAGCUGGAAUUCCCGGUGUAGCGGUGAAAUGCGUAGAUAUCGGGAGGAAGACCAGUGGCGAAGGCGGGUCUCUGGACAGUUCCUGACGCUGAGGCACGAAGGUCAGGGGAGCAAACGGG
rnacentral:rRNA from 1 species